AUUCUGACUCUUGUUAAAACAGUAAGGAAGACUUUAUACAGGGUUAUUGCUAUAGGUGUAAAGAUGAUCACUCUAGGGAGAGAUGAGGUCUGACACGGAAUGCUGGGGAUGUAUAGCCAAGGAGCAGAAUGAAGGGGUCAGUAGAUGGAAAAUUACUGAGACGAGACAUCAAGCGCCUAGAGGGAUUCUUGCUGAAGGUGACUCCUGAUGCUGUGAUUUAGGAUCCGUGUUCCUUCCGUCUUGUGGCUUUGCCACCAUCUCGGGCCUGUGGUUUACUCCAUCUGCCAGAGUGAAGGGGAGAGAAAAUGAAAAAGUACAGGAAUUGUUUGCAUUGCUACCUAAUGAAAAUCUACAAGUUACCGUUUAACCUCACAGUAUCUGGGCCCCAAUCAGUAAUAAAUAGCAAGUCAAACAAAGAUACAUAUUGAUUAUGGAAAUUGGCGAACGUGUCCUUAAAAGUAGUUAUCUAUUCAACUCCAUACCCACCAAGAGGAAAGACGUGCCUCCCACAGAAGAGAAGUCUCUAUGCCUGCCAUAUGAAGAUGUCUGCUUCCACUUUGCCUUCUGCCCUGAGUGAAAGUUUCCUGAGG